rnacentral:rRNA from 1 species
CCUACGGGAGGCAGCAGUGGGGGAUAUUGGACAAUGGGGGGAACCCUGAUCCAGCGACGCCGCGUGAGUGAAGAAGUAUUUCGGUAUGUAAAGCUCUGUCAGCAGGGAAGAAAGAAAUGACGGUACCUGACCAAGAAGCCCCGGCUAACUACGUGCCAGCAGCCGCGGUAAUACGUAGGGGGCAAGCGUUAUCCGGAAUUACUGGGUGUAAAGGGAGCGUAGACGGUUAAGUAAGUCUGGAGUGAAAGGCCGGGGCCCAACCCCGGGACUGCUCUGGAAACUAUUCAACUUGAGUGCAGGAGAGGUAAGCGGAAUUCCUAGUGUAGCGGUGAAAUGCGUAGAGAUUAGGAGGAACACCAGUGGCGAAGGCGGCUUACUGGACUGUAACUGACGUUGAGGCUCGAAAGCGUGGGGAGCAAACAGGAUUAGAUACCCGGGUAGUC